rnacentral:rRNA from 1 species
CGGCAACAGCUCAAAUUUAAAAUCUGGCCUCUUCGGGGCCCGAGUUGUAAUUUGUAGAGGAUGUUUUGGGUACCGCACCGGUUUAAAUUUCUUGGAACAGAAUGUCAGAGAGGGUGAGAAUCCCGUCU